UCGGCAACGGAUAUCUCGGCUCUUACAUCGAUGAAGAACGUAGCAAAAUGCGAUACUUGGAGUGAAUUGCAGAAUCCCGUGAACCAUCGAGUCUUUGAACGCAAGUUGCGCCCGAAUCCUUUUGGUUGAGGGCACGUCUGCCUGGGUGUCACGUACACAUGCCUCCCGCAAACCUUCCCCCUUUGUGGAUGAAGGGCCUCGCGGGAGCAAAUAAUGGUAUCCCGUGCUCUUUCCGCGCGGCUUGCCUA
rnacentral:rRNA from 1 species